rnacentral:rRNA from 1 species
GAUGAACGCUGGCGGCGUGCCUAAUACAUGCAAGUCGAGCGAACGGACGAGAAGCUUGCUUCUCUGAUGUUAGCGGCGGACGGGUGAGUAACACGUGGAUAACCUACCUAUAAGACUGGGAUAACUUCGGGAAACCGGAGCUAAUACCGGAUAAUAUUUUGAACCGCAUGGUUCAAAAGUGAAAGACGGUCUUGCUGUCACUUAUAGAUGGAUCCGCGCUGCAUUAGCUAGUUGGUAAGGUAACGGCUUACCAAGGCAACGAUGCAUAGCCGACCUGAGGGGGUGAUCGGCCACACUAGAACGGAGACACGGUCCAGACUCCUACGGGAGGCAGCAGUAGGGAAUCUUCCGCAAUGGGCGAAAGCCUGACGGAGCAACGCCGCGUGAGUGAUGAAGGUCUUCGGAUCGUAAAACUCUGUUAUGAGGGAAGAACAUAUGUGUAAGUAACUGUGCACAUCUUGACGGUACCUAAUCAGAAAGCCACGGCUAACUACGUG